rnacentral:rRNA from 1 species
CCUACGGGAGGCAGCAGUGGGGAAUUUUGGACAAUGGGCGCAAGCCUGAUCCAGCCAUGCCGCGUGCAGGAUGAAGGCCUUCGGGUUGUAAACUGCUUUUGUACGGAACGAAAAGACUCUGGUUAAUACCUGGGGUCCAUGACGGUACCGUAAGAAUAAGCACCGGCUAACUACGUGCCAGCAGCCGCGGUAAUACGUAGGGUGCGAGCGUUAAUCGGAAUUACUGGGCGUAAAGCGUGCGCAGGCGGUUAUGUAAGACAGAUGUGAAAUCCCCGGGCUCAACCUGGGAACUGCAUUUGUGACUGCAUAGCUAGAGUACGGCAGAGGGGGAUGGAAUUCCGCGUGUAGCAGUGAAAUGCGUAGAUAUGCGGAGGAACACCGAUGGCGAAGGCAAUCCCCUGGGCCUGUACUGACGCUCAUGCACGAAAGCGUGGGGAGCAAACAGGAUUAGAUACCCUGGUAGUC